rnacentral:rRNA from 1 species
GACGAACGCUGGCGGCGUGCUUAACACAUGCAAGUCGAACGGAAAGGCCCUGCUUGCAGGGUACUCGAGUGGCGAACGGGUGAGUAACACGUGGGUGAUCUGCCCUGCACUUCGGGAUAAGCCUGGGAAACUGGGUCUAAUACCGGAUAGGAGCCAUUUUUAGUGUGAUGGUUGGAAAGUUUUUUCGGUGUAGGAUGAGCUCGCGGCCUAUCAGCUUGUUGGUGGGGUAAUGGCCUACCAAGGCGGCGACGGGUAGCCGGCCUGAGAGGGUGGACGGCCACAUUGGGACUGAGAUACGGCCCAGACUCCUACGGGAGGCAGGAGUGGGGAAUAUUGCACAAUGGGCGCAAGCCUGAUGCAGCGACGCCGCGUGGGGGAUGACGGCCUUCGGGUUGUAAACUCCUUUCGCUAGGGACGAAGCUUUUUGUGACGGUACCUAGAUAAGAAGCACCGGCUAACUACGUG